UCGUCGCUGGGCGGCCGGGCCAUGGGGGAGGCCGAGGUGGGCGGCGGUGGCGCGGCGGGCGACAAGGGGCCCGGGGAGGCAGCCACCAGCCCGGCCGAGGAGACGGUCGUGUGGAGCCCCGAGGUGGAGGUGUGCCUCUUCCACGCCAUGCUGGGCCACAAGCCCGUCGGUGUGAACCGGCACUUCCACAUGAUCUGUAUCCGGGACAAGUUCAGCCAGAACAUCGGCCGGCAAGUGCCCUCCAAGGUCAUCUGGGACCACCUGAGCACCAUGUACGACAUGCAGGCACUGGGAGGAGAGAAAGGUGACCACUGUGUCCUGGGACCAGCGCCUGGCCUGCAGUAGGCAUUCUAGAAACUCGAGAACUGGCCGCUAAACUACACCAGGCCCACCCAAAGGGCCAUGCCUGCUGGUCAGGGCCUUGCCCUCCGUGAGUUCCCGGGUUCCACAGCUUGACUGGGCUCGCAUACCUGUCACACUGUGAGGUCACCUGGCCCCCAGGCACGUCCUGAGCCCUGACUGCUGGCUGGACCCAGAGAUCAGAGUGGCAGGGUCCCCGACCUGGGGGAGGCAGGUGGUUCUUAGGCACGCUGCUGGCCCAGAGGAUCCCAUGGCUGUGACCCCAGCACAGGGCCCACGUGACACUCAGGGAACUGCAGCGGGGGCACCCAGGGCUUUCAGCCCGGGACAGUGGCCCUUCUCUCUUUUCCUCGCACCCUAGCAUGGCUGUGGGGCUGACGUCACGGUCACCUGGGGCCUUGAACCCCACCCGCAAGGUGCCGUGGGCGCAGGAACCCUCGGGUUUUGAAGCUCCUCGAUGCCGAUCAGCACGUUUACACGCUGACCGCCUGGUGAUGAGCACGGCUCCCGAGUGUCUCCUGAUCGCCCCCAACCCUGAGUCCCUCCUGCCAGCUAAGCUCUCCCUUCGUCCCAUGGGCUGCGUCUCCACCGUCUCUGUCCGGUCCGGCAGGUGCGAGCUGCCAGCCAGGUGGAACACGCUGAGCAUCGGCGGUGCCUGCUCCCCUGCACUCACCUGCUUCCCACCCCGGUGGCCCGCCCACAUGGGUGAGACGGGAGCCCCAUGGCCUUUCUGCAGGGUUGUCACGGCCCUCGGAUCGCGUGCUCCCGGAGCCUGCACAGCCGGGCCAGGCCUGCAGGACAGCUGCAGCCUGAUUCUGGCCCUGCAGGUGUGCCAGCAGACUGGGCACCCUGGCCCCAUCUCAGGUGACAGUCAACCCAGAGUCUUCCCUCUCGUGACUGAUGCUGGUGGCUCAUGCUGUGGUUUUGCCUUGUCUGGGUCCGUGUGACAAGCCCAGCCCCUCGUAAACCGUAGAAGAGAAAGAAACGGCCUCGGCCCCCUCCACCUGCCCACUGCAGCCUCAAGACCGUUACCUGUGUUUGUUGUUUGCUCCUGAAUUUAAAAGUCACGUUUAAGAGCUCCCUGGUAGCUCAGUGGGUUGGGGAUCGGGUGUUGUCACUGCAGCGGCUCGGGUUGCUGCUUUGGCUCGGGUUUGAUCCCUGGCUCAGGAGCUUGUGUGCGCCACAGAUACAGCCAUAGAAAUCACAUUUUCUUCUUUGUUUCUUUAAAAAACAAAACAUACAAAAAAAAAAAAAAAACGCCCUCUUUGCCGUCAGCAUGAGUCUGAGAUUCUUCCGUUCCCAAACCCGGAGAGGAACUUCGUCCUUCCAGAAGAAAUCAUUCAGGAAGUCCGAGAAGGAAAAGUGACCGUCGAAGAGGAGAUGAAGGAGGAGAUGAAGGAAGACGUGGACCCUCACAACGGGGCCGACGACGUUUUUUCAUCUUCAGGAAGCUUGGGGAAGUCCGCGGAAAAGUCCAGCAAAGACAAAGACAAGAGCAACUCAGACUUGGGGUCCAAAGAGGGGUCGGACAAGCGGAAGCGCAGCCGGGUCACCGACAAAGUCCUGACCGCCAACAGCAACCCCUCCAGCCCCAGCGCAGCCAAGCGGCGCCGGACGUAGACGCUUGCAGUGGCGGUCGCCAUGGUCACCAGGCAGUCAGCGGGCAGAUGCCACCGGCCCCGCUGCCCGCCCUCAGGUGCCAGAGGCUCCCAAGGUGCCACUCAGACCAUCGGGGCUGGGCUGGCCCGCGUCGACCGAGAUGGGCCACGCUCAGAGCUGAGAGCCGAGAGGUGAGCCCAGGCCGUGUCGUCUGGGCACGUGGCUCCCAGGGCGUCAGCUUAGCUGCACCGGUGGCCCAGCGUUGGAACGAGCCUGAGGACCAGGCUGCGUGGGCAGGGAGCAGGGCUGGCAGGAGAGGCCUGGCACGGCAAGCAAUAAACACCCUGGGCUUCCCAUCUGUCCAUCUGUCCGCCCGUCAGGCGCCCUCUCGACGGGCUGCGGCCUCAGGAGCGCGCCAGGCCUCAGGCGACGGCCCCUCCACCACCCGAGAGACUGAGAACUGAGUAUUCUGCCUCAUCCACUUGUACUGUAACGGUGUAUAUAAUUCGCUUGGGAUUUCGCUAUUUAAUUUUUAAGAAGCCUAUUUUACUAGUGUUUUAUAUGAAAAAAAUGCUGCGAAGUUAAAUCCGUGUUGUAUUUUUUCCGAGAGGUUUUGUUUUACGGUGAUGACUACUGAGCUAACUUUUUGCUCAGUUUUUAUAUGCCAGAUACAGAGAAUUUGUAGCGGUUAUUUUUGUAUUAUCGAGCAACUUGCAAACAGACCAAAUGAGUGAGUGGAGGGAGGCAGGCCUGUGGGCCCUGCAGCCUGGGCCCCGGGCGGGCUGAAAUGCACUUGCUUUUGACGGAGGGACAUUAAAACACAAAAA
rnacentral:lncRNA from 1 species